AAUGCUUUACGCUAUGCCGGAAGCAACACGUUUAUAGACUACCAGCUCAGAAGGGGGAUAAUAUACAGAGCGAACUUGACCGAUAAAUCGAAGGGUCCAGAAUCGCCGUCGUCGUCUUCUCCAAGGGGUACGCGGAGUCCCAGUGGUGCUUGAGGGAGCUGGCCUAGAUCAUGAGGUGCGGAGAAGAUCAAGAGGGAAAAAUAGUCUGUCCAAUAUUCUAUGCCGUUGUGAGGAAACGGAGUGGUGGUUUUGGGGAAGUUCGGAAAAGAGAUGAAAAUCCAAACGAACAAGCAGUGGAGAAAGGAUCUUAAGGCUUCUUUCCGGCGGACGGGCGUGAAGGGUUGUUUAUUGAGGAAAUUGCUGGGGACAUCAGAGGACUACUGAUUACAACAGACUUAAAACAAGCCAAGUGCUCAGUUGGAAUGGAUUUUCUUGUGCAAUAGUUCAGUACUGAAUGCUUAGAUGUUGGAGAUUUGCUUGAUGUUCAAAUAAUUGGAAUUUGAGGUAUGUGCAGUAUAGGUGAAAAAACACUUGCGAGAGCUCUCUGUAGAGAAUAUCAUCGUUGCUUUAGUGGUCAAUGUUACCUUGAAAAGGUGAGGAGUAAAAAAGAAAAGUAUCGUUGCUCUGCAAUAACAACUUCUUCGAGGUGUUUUGAAACGGCUGGACAUUAAUGUGAGCGGUGUUGCUGAAGGAACCAAAGAGAUAGAGAAAAGACUUGGAAGCAUGAAGUUGCUUGUCGUUGUUGAUGGCAUAGAUGGUGCUGACCAAUUAGAUGAAUUGGCGAUAAAACAUGAAUCGACUUCGUUUGUUAAGAUUCCGGCCACCCAAAACUGCAGAAGCCUUAAGAUCCUUUCUUCACUGCUCGACCUCAUUUGGAUCUUCAUCCCUUUCAUGCUUCCAAAAUGCAUUUCCAAAUAUACCACUAUUUCCUUACUUGAGAAGGGUCGACGUUGUACAAUAUUGGAUAGACUACUUUCCCCUCUUGAUCUUCUUGGCACCUCAUGAUCUUGGCCAGCUCCUCAGGCACUAUCCAGACUCCACGUACCUCUUUGAGAAGACAGACGAAGGUAUUCCUUGACCCUUUGAUUUCUUGGUCAAGUUCACUCUGUAUGUUUUCCCACUCUAUGAGCGUGUGGAUUCCGGCAUUGUGUAACGCAAUGGAGAGGUGGUCAGUGAAGGUAGUGCGUGUGUUGUCGCCUCUAAAGCUCAGGAACACCUCGUACUUCCAGCGAUUUGAGUGGCAUAGGGAAGAUGAAGAGGCUGCGACGGCGGUUCCAUGGGCGGAGCUGAUGGUAUCCAUCGAUAAUUGGUACUAGUGUUGGGAGACUAGAGGGAGUGCAGCAGGCUGUGCGGCUUGGCUUUCAGAUAGAAAUGCCUUUAAUAUUUUGUACAUAUAAAAAAUAAAUAGGGUUAAUUACAUUGAUGUUUCCUGAAUUUGUCAUUAUCUUCAUUUUCGUUAUUAAACAUUUUAUUUGCUUUA